AGUGAACGCUGGCGGCAGGCCUAACACAUGCAAGUCGAACGGCAGCACAGUAAGAGCUUGCUCUUACGGGUGGCGAGUGGCGGACGGGUGAGGAAUACAUCGGAAUCUACUUUUUCGUGGGGGAUAACGUAGGGAAACUUACGCUAAUACCGCAUACGACCUACGGGUGAAAGCAGGGGAUCUUCGGACCUUGCGCGAUUGAAUGAGCCGAUGUCGGAUUAGCUAGUUGGCGGGGUAAAGGCCCACCAAGGCGACGAUCCGUAGCUGGUCUGAGAGGAUGAUCAGCCACACUGGAACUGAGACACGGCCCAGACUCCUACGGGAGGCAGCAGUGGGGAAUAUUGGACAAUGGGCGCAAGCCUGAUCCAGCCAUACCGCGUGGGUGAAGAAGGCCUUCGGGUUGUAAAGCCCUUUUGUUGGGAAAGAAAAGCAGCAGGUUAAUACCCCGCUGUUCUGACGGUACCCAAAGAAUAAGCACCGGCUAACUUCGUG
rnacentral:rRNA from 1 species